rnacentral:tRNA from 1 species
AGCCCAAUAGCACACCGAUAGCGUGCGCCUACAAAGCGUAGGCGGCGUCCAUGCGUGGGUUCGAAUCCCAUUGAGGCUA